rfam:Bacillus thuringiensis serovar israelensis ATCC 35646 sq1863, whole genome shotgun sequence.
UAACAUACGUUGAAAGAGCCCAGUAGCAGUUUGUCACUGUUAACGAGAGAGCUAGGGGUUGCUGGAACCUAGCACAAACAAACUUGCGAAUUACACUCUGGAGUAUCUUAGGUAAUGCUAAGCGGACUAGCAAUCGAUAUUAUUGCUAAGAGUGGUAUGAGUAGCUAUGCUAUUUAUGCAAACUGGGUGGUAACACGGUGAAUAAUCGUCCCUAUG